UCAGCCUUCUCGCAUGGGAAAGAUUUUAUACAAACAGAAAAGAGUCAUCAAAGUUGGCAAUUGAGUAAAAUCCCUCUGUAAAUAUUCAAGUGAUCCAGGAAUAGCCCUUAGGUAAGAUCAUGUAGAAAAUGUACAUCUCAAAGGCACAGAGCUGUAACUUCAAGGCUAAAUAUCAUAAUUUGCCUAUUGCAAAAAAGAGGAGUAUAGGAAAAAGCCCAGUUAAGACAAGAUCGCCAAGAAAAGCACCUUAAACAAAGGUGUUGAGCCCAAGAGCAAUUCUGUUCUUUUUAAGAGAUGGGGUCUCACACUCACUAUGGCUGGAGUGCAGUGGCACAAUCAGUUCACUGCAGUCUUGAACUCCCGAACGCAAGCGACCUCAGCCUCCCCAGAGCUGGGGUUUCAGCUGCACAACACCAUGCCCAGCAAUAGAACAUCUUUUAAUCAACAUCCUGCACACUAAAUUCCAACUAUGAUCUCAGAGUCUGCUUCCCCCGGAACCCAACCUGUAACAGUGUGUCAUUUGAAUGGAAAAUAACUAUGAAUUUAAAAUCUCAGGCUUAUAUCUAC
rnacentral:lncRNA from 10 species